UAGGGGUGUGGGUGGCGUGUACGCACGGCCAUCAUCUUGGUUGCUUGGCUUCUCUGCUGUCGUCGUCCCCUCCCUUCCUCGCAUCAUGAUCGCUUUCAUUUGGAGGUCUCAGUCCUACCUCUUCUCCGCUUUUCUUGGGAUGGCCACUUCACUGCUCCCACCAACGGAGCCCACAGAUCGACUCGAAAAAGGCUUGUGCUGAGCCGGAAAAUGCGUAUCACCGCGGCGACAGCGACCGCCCCUGUCGGUACCCCAGGCGCCAAAAUCCGCAAGGGGAAGGCAAAAACCAUCCGCGCCGUCGCCGCGGCAGGCGCUGUAUGGCGCCCCCAAUCGCAGCUCAUCUUCACCUCCAACGCCACCUCUGUGAAGGCGACGCCGAACGGCGAACUUGGCGCCUCGACAACCGCAGGGGCCAUCAGCACCAAUGACAGCAUCAACGGCUACACCGUCACCUCAUCAGCGCUGGCGAUAAAGACUGCAGGUACUGGAGUCGGUGGCAGCUGUGGGGUUGCCUCGGUGCUCCCCAUACCCACCGCGCCAUCCUCUGGUAGCGCGCAAGCACGUCCGCUGUCGUCGUCAGGGCGUGCUGGGCUGGAAAGCCAGAUUUUGAGGAACGACACUCUCGAAGCUGUGAGGCGAUCAGGCGCCGAGGGGUUUCCACCCUCGCGGGAGAAGGGCGUUGUCAGUUGCACGUUGCUAGCAGCCGAAAAGCGACGCCGUGUCGCGGACGCCGCCGCGACAAGCGAGCUCAGCACAGACGACCGAAAUGCGUUCACCCCUGCUGAGGUGCCGCUCUGGGUGGCUGGCGGCGCUCCUCUCGAUGCUUCCAAGGCUGCAGAUACCGGUGGGGGCGCCAGCGCUGCUUCCUUCGAAGGAGCGAUGGGCAACUCGCCCUUCGUGUCGAGCUCCUCCUCAGCUUCUUCAGACACAGGAUGUGCGCAGCGGGCAAAGGCCUUGCACACAGACCAGCGGCCCUCAGCGACGCACCGGUGCGACAAGGGCGCUUUCGAGAAGCGGCCGCAGCUGCUCCUGUCGCUUGCGCAGGACAACCGGGGUUUCCUCAAUCCUGGCUACUCGUGCAGCUCCUCAGUCUCGAGCAGUGAGGACCGCGGCGCUGGCAGUGGGCGUGCAGGUAGCGACGGCAGCGCCGGUUCGGCAAGGCGCCAGGGUACCCCAUCUGCGGCACCUUUCAGUCGAGCCGCACCAUCAGAGCAGCGCGGAAAAGCGUGCGGCGGCGCGCCUCCGCCGGCGUCCACUACCCUUCUGGGUUGCGGCAGGAAUCGGGCCACCCUCGCUGUCUUCCCGCUGACCGCCGCGGAGGAGCAGUCAGCCCGGCAAGCGUACGACACCUACCGAGCACAGCAAGAGAAGGCGAGUUAUCACAGAAAUCACGCCAGCGCCACUAAGCACUGCUCUCAGCGCACUGCUUCCGUGCCCCCAUCCGCCCUGAGCACUUCCACGCCUGUAGGGAAGCGUGAGCUGCUGCGGCUACUUCGCGGGCUUUAUCACCGUGCACAGGCCAUGAUGGCAUGUACCACAAAGACCGCCGCGCCGGCGUCCGCCCCGCCGCAGAGGAAGGCGGUGUCGCCAACGAUCACCGUUAGCGCGGCAGACGUACUGCACGAGUUUCCUUCCACCAAAUACCUGCUCAACGCAGCUGAGGCAUGCUUUGGCAGCCGUCGUUUCCGAACUCUCAUGGCUGCUGUGGUGGCAGACAGUGACGCCCUCGCCCCCAUCGUAGUUCGAAACAACGACGGAGGAGCGCCCGCCGUGCCCACCGCUUCACGGUUACGGUUGUCGUCUUCGUCUCAAGGAUUGACAGUGGAGGAGGCGCUCUCCUUCUUUAGGCACCUCAAGCAUGAAAUGGCCUCGGAUGUGGCCAGGCAACGGGAGAGGAGGCAGGCAGAGCCGUCGGCGAUGCCAGAAGCAGCGUCGGGGGACAAAGGGCGGAAUCGCCCAGCGAAGGCGGCUCCAUCACAGCCGCUACUUGACCUGCAGGGUUCGCAGAAGAGGCGUAGUAUUUCUGCCCCCAGUUGUCAAGCUGCCUCCCAGAUGUGCCGUCUCCCUUCUGCGCAGGCCGGUCGACGCAGCGGCCGACCUCCGCCGACUCCUGUUGCGCGGAUGGCGGCGAGGCGUGCCACGUCGGCGUCUUUCCUGCCGUCGUCUACCCCACCGUCGCCUUCCCCGCAGUUGUCUUCCUCACCGUCCAGGCCAGGGAUUCCCGGGGCGGUGGCGUUGGCGGGGCCUCAGAAGCCAACUGGACGGCGUAAGGGCCCGCGCAGAAAAGUAGCGCUGCCGCGGCCGUCGCCGCAUCUGCUCGGUAACAACUCGUGCGCGCCCGACGCAGCUUACAGGGAUGACUUCAUUCACACAUAUGUGCAGCGCAAGGCAUUUGCUGAGAUCGCCGGAGGCCAGGGCUGCCACCACAGCACCACCGUGACACUGGAGCAGCUGAUAAAAGUGCUGCACUGGUUCGAGCUGGCGCUCAACCCCAGCGUCCUCGAGCGCCUGUGCGGCGUGCAGGCGCAGCCGGCGCGAGAAUCGCCGGACAUCUUCAUCGACUUCAAUACCUUUGUGAAGAUCAUCAACUCGGGCUUGCGUUGCCAGCGCUACAGUGGGGGCAGCGGCUCCUCUUCAGCACCCGCCUCCGCGUCGGCGGACAACGACGACGAUCCGCAGUCCAACGCGUUUGUGCCGGUGUUGCCCCCAGAGGCGCCUGCACGGGCUUCUCCUGUGACGCUGCCUAUUCCAGGCUUGACGGCGACCGACGGUGCAUCGCUCAGCACGGGUAGCGGGUGUGCACCUUGCUCUAAAGCUGCCUCCUCCACCAUCUCAGUGCGUGACAGUGGGGGCUCGAAUCGGUCGCUACUGGUCCUCGCCCCAGUUUCUGCCGCGGCGCAUUGCCGAUUGAGCAGCCUCAGCAGCAUGUCGACUUCAACCGCUUCUUCGCCGGCAAGUGGCGGCAGCAUGCACAGGCCAUUUGUGGACACAGACGAUGCGUACCCAUUGGUGGCUCAUGACUCCGCCAUCGCAGCGCUCUGCCGCAGUAUUCGCCAGCGGCUGCGCCGAGAGCUGCGGCGGAGCGUGAGCGGUGGGUCUAACGCGAUGCUGCGACCCCGAGACAACCAAGGCAACCGCAACGGGACUGGCGAUGGCGCGGCGCAAAAGGAAGGAAACGACCCGCAGUAUUCUCCAUCUAGCCGGACGGCGCCGGCUUCCUCGCGCUCGUGGAGGUCGUUGUCUUUGGCCUCCUCCGCAGCGUCGCCAAUGCCCAGGGAGAACUUGAGCGCCGCCGGUCUAGUUGGUGAGAGCGAAUCCGCUCCUGCACGUCGCGAUGGCGAGGAAUUCUCGGUAUCGCCACACUUGUCGAAGUGGCUCAGUGACACGAAGCGUAGCACUCCGCUCUCUCGCCAGAGGCUGCGCGAGCAGCCGUCGCCGUCGCCGCUUGUAGUUCAUGCGUUGCCUCCUCCCUCGCAUCCGUACACACCGACCCCUACGCCAAGAGCCCCGCGUGCACAGCCCGUCAGAAGAGGUGAGGGUGCCAUUGCCUCCCAGUGGUUCCGCACAGCACAGCGCUGGCGGGGGCACGGGCACCGACUCGCUGCUCCGCCGCCCGCCAGGCCGGCUACUGCGCAAAGACAGGCUCUCUCCGCUGCCGUGGCGAGGCGGUGUCGCCGGCAUCAAGGAUCGAUGCACCUUAUCACGUCCCUGUCGCCUUACAGCGAUUCAGGCCAUGGCGCCCGACGGCCCGCAAGCCAUUGCUGGUCGCGCAUCGCGACUCUAUCAACGCUGAGCCAGUCGCGAAGGUCGUCGUCGCUGCACUCCUGUGACACUCAGCCAGUGCUGCAUUCGCUCCACUUGUCAGAACCCGACUUGUCUGCCGCUUUCCUGUCGCAGACUUUGCCUGCACAGACGGCAUCGAGGCACCAGAAACGGAACCGUCCAGCAAGCGCCUAUACGCGACUUACGGCGGCACCAACGCAUGACGCCUGUACAGCGCACGUCUUACACCCCCCUCUCUCACCAACCAUCAGAUCGUCGCCGCUGCCGUAUCGGCGGCGGCUCUUCCAGGCCCGCUAGGACGGUGCAGACUGAGGUUGUAGUGAGACAUUGCGGAUCGGAGGUCAGUCACGUAGCCAAUCAGGUGGACCCGCGUCACCGGCUGCCCUGCCGCUUCCGCCGUCCUGCAGCAGGUCGAGCCGAGCUAGCAGUCCAGUGCCCCGUUUCUCUCGUCGCUAGCGGCGACGGCGGUCGCUGCCCGGCCUCCGGUGUCUGAAUCGGUCGCUUCGUCUCUUGGCAGGUCUUCUUCAGCCUUCUCAUCUGGACUUCGCACUGGUGUCGCCGCCGCAUUUGGCUGCUGUGAGGAGCUAGCAGGGCUGAACACGCAGGGCAGAGGCGUGGCUCAGCGAGUGGCUUCCCUGUCCCCAACUACGGGGGGUCCCUGGGUUCCAAAUGCGGGGCAGCGGCAUCAGCGCGACAGUCGAUCACCUGGCGCUAGUGAUCGGCCGCAAGGGAAGACUUUUGCUCGAGACAGCGGUCCAGGCUUUCUCAUUUCGGACCCGCUGAUAUUUGGCGGAGCUGGAUAAGAUGAACAUCGCAGCUGGAGAUGUCGGCGCAGAGCUUCCCACACACACACACACACACAAAAGUGCAGCCUGCGCCGACGUCUGCGACGUGCACAGAACUCAUAGCAGGUGUACCACUCCCUCGCACUACGCUGGGCAGACGUGCGAAGUGCUGUGAACACUGAAUCUGUUCAAGCGCAGCAGUCCCACUAGCAAGGGCGCCAUCACGCACUGCAACGGCCAUUCCACACUAGUUGCGCCUGGGACCACCAGCGCCGCAUACCGCCGUACACAGCGUCAGUGGCGAGAGCGAAGCUGCACUGUAACGGCGAUGACAACGGCCGACGAGACCCCCUCGCUGAGCUUUUCUGCCGCUGAGUGAGCAUCGAUAGUGCAGUUCAGCGUGGUGAAUAGCAUCCGUGCCGCUCUGAUUGCUGCCGGCUGGCACAGCCACACCGACGCGCUUGGUCAGACGACAAGCGCGUCGUCAGUCAGCGGCUCCGGCUCCAUGGGAGCGGAGUCUUGACUGAGUAUAUCGUCGAAGCUCCGUCGGCAGCAGAAAGCUGACCGGGCUCUUUGCGAGCCACCAAGGCCCGGGGCAGCGGCCCGGCAGCGACUCCAAUGUGCAUCGAGCCCUCAACUCGUCGCUCUGGCGGUACAACCCAAGCGGCAUGCGCAACUUCGGCAGUUGGUUUGGUGACACGACGACAUCGCUGGUCGCGGCCGGCUUUCUUCAGCUUCAUGCCCGUGGCACAUGAUUCACGGUCCAGCUUUCUCCCCGCAAGAGAGUAGAAAGCACUAGAGCGGACGAACAAAAAGAGAAUAGCGGUUCUUCCUUGCAUCUGUUUGUUUGUGGACGUGCGUGUACGAGUGCGCGGGUUCGACAGUGGACGGUGUUGCACUGCUGCCGUUUCUGCCACCAACCCGCCCCCUGUCUUUCUGUUCUCCCUUCCCGUUGUUUCUCGCAAGCGGUGCGCCCCAGUUUUGUAGUGGUGUCCUUCUGUGUUGUCUUUGGGGGAGGGGAAGGGGAUGGAAUGGGAUGUCGUGUGUGUUCUUAAUAGGGAACGAAUUGCUUGUUCUCUCUGCCCUGUUUUACCUCAUCCCCUUCUCUCCAAGGCUCCUGCUGAGACCCUUGCGCGCCUCGCUCUCUUUUCGCAGCAAGACACCCUGUCCAACGGGGAAGUGUAGCGAAGUGUAUGCGUGAGGUAUGUCUCUCGACACUUGCUUUUCCUCAUUUUUCGAGUUUGUGUGUUGGAGAGGGAGAGUCUGUGUGUGUGUGGGUUAGGCAUUUAUAAUAUGUAUGCAUUUUGUUUGUCUGUUUUGGCUGUUACCUACAUCGUUCAUUUGCGCAGCUGUUCUGCAUACGUUGUGCCCGCUUAGUGAUUGUCAUGUUCUCGGAGACGCCGGCGUUACGCUGCCCCGCACUCCUUCAUGACUAUUAUUAUUAUUUUUUUUUUGCGUUACGCCUGUGUGUGUCUAUAUGUUUACCUUUUAUGUACAUUUGUUUGCUCGCAUGCAGUAGCGCUGCAGGAAAAAAUGGAAAGCAGACAAAAAAUACAGGGGGAGGUGCUGGUGGUGGUGCAACGUACACACACAG
rnacentral:misc_RNA from 1 species